rnacentral:misc_RNA from 1 species
GUGCAAUUUUUGGAUAAUCGCGUGGAGAUUUUAGAUUUUCAUGAGGAAAGUCCAUGCUAGCACUGGCUGUGAUGCCGGUAGUGUUUGUGCUAGGCGAAGAAAUAAGCCUAGGGACGGAUUUUUCCGUUACGGCGACCGAAAGGGCUAAGUCUUUGGAUAUGUCUGAUUAGGUCUGAAAGUGCCACAGUGACGUAGUUCUUCUGGAAACAGAAGAAGUGGAACGCGGUAAACCCCUCAAGCUAGCAACCCA